rnacentral:rRNA from 1 species
GGGACACGUGGUAUCCUGUCUGAAUAUGGGGGGACCAUCCUCCAAGGCUAAAUACUCCUGACUGACCGAUAGUGAACCAGUACCGUGAGGGAAAGGCGAAAAGAACCCCGGCGAGGGGAGUGAAAAAGAACCUGAAACCGUGUACGUACAAGCAGUGGGAGCACGCUUAGGCGUGUGACUGCGUACCUUUUGUAUAAUGGGUCAGCGACUUAUAUUCUGUAGCAAGGUUAACCGAAUAGGGGAGCCGAAGGGAAACCGAGUCUUAACUGGGCGUUAAGUUGCAGGGUAUAGACCCGAAACCCGGUGAUCUAGCCAUGGGCAGGUUGAAGGUUGGGUAACACUAACUGGAGGACCGAACCGACUAAUGUUGAAAAAUUAGCGGAUGACUUGUGGCUGGGGGUGAAAGGCCAAUCAAACCGGGAGAUAGCUGGUUCUCCCCGAAAGCUAUUUAGGUAGCGCCUCGUGAAUUCAUCUCCGGGGGUAGAGCACUGUUUCGGCAAGGGGGUCAUCCCGACUUACCAACCCGAUGCAAACUGCGAAUACCGGAGAAUGUUAUCACGGGAGACACACGGCGGGUGCUAACGUCCGUCGUGAAGAGGGAAACAACCCAGACCGCCAGCUAAGGUCCCAAAGUCAUGGUUAAGUGGGAAACGAUGUGGGAAGGCCCAGACAGCCAGGAUGUUGGCUUAGAAGCAGCCAUCAUUUAAAGAAAGCGUAAUAGCUCACUGGUCGAGUCGGCCUGCGCGGAAGAUGUAACGGGGCUAAACCAUGCACCGAAGCUGCGGCAGCGACGCUUAUGCGUUGUUGGGUAGGGGAGCGUUCUGUAAGCCUGCGAAGGUGUGCUGUGAGGCAUGCUGGAGGUAUCAGAAGUGCGAAUGCUGACAUAAGUAACGAUAAAGCGGGUGAAAAGCCCGCUCGCCGGAAGACCAAGGGUUCCUGUCCAACGUUAAUCGGGGCAGGGUGAGUCGACCCCUAAGGCGAGGCCGAAAGGCGUAGUCGAUGGGAAACAGGUUAAUAUUCCUGUACUUGGUGUUACUGCGAAGGGGGGACGGAGAAGGCUAUGUUGGCCGGGCGACGGUUGUCCCGGUUUAAGCGUGUAGGCUGGU